UACGGAGGGUGCUAGCGUUGUUCGGAAUUACUGGGCGUAAAGCGCACGUAGGCGGCUUUGUAAGUUAGAGGUGAAAGCCCGGGGCUCAACCCCGGAAUUGCCUUUAAGACUGCAUCGCUUGAAUCCGGGAGAGGUGAGUGGAAUUCCGAGUGUAGAGGUGAAAUUCGUAGAUAUUCGGAAGAACACCAGUGGCGAAGGCGGCUCACUGGACCGGUAUUGACGCUGAGGUGCGAAAGCGUGGGGAGCAAACAGG
rnacentral:rRNA from 1 species